GGAGAGGUGACCGAGAUGGCUGAAGGUGCACGCCUGGAAAGCGUGUGUAUCCUAACCGGGUACCGAGGGUUCGAAUCCCUCCUUCUCCGCCA
rnacentral:tRNA from 1 species